GAGGACGGCCUUAGGGUUGUAAACCUCUUUUCUCUAGGAAGAAGAUCUGACGGUACUAGAGGAAUCAGCAUCGGCUAACUCCGUGCCAGCAGCCGCGAUAAUACGGAGGAUGCAAGCGUUAUCCGGAUUUAUUGGGCGUAAAGCGUCCGCAGGCGGUUCACCAAGUCUGCUGUUAAAGGCCGAGGCUUAACUUCGGUUGAGCAGUGGAAACUGAUGAACUAGAGUGCGAUAGGGGUAGAGGGAAUUCCCAGUGUAGCGGUGAAAUGCGUAGAUAUUGGGAAGAACACCAGUGGCGAAGGCGCUCUACUGGGUCGCAACUGACGCUGAGGGACGAAAGCUAGGGGAGCGAAAGGGAUUAGAUACCCCUGUAGUC
rnacentral:rRNA from 1 species